CUGGCCCUAAACGGUGCACGUUUGCUGUAAGAGGAAUCGACCCCUUUUGUGGCGAAGCUAACGCGUUAAACGUGCCGCCUGGGAAGUACGGCCGCAAGGUUAAAACUCAAAGAAAUUGACGGGGGCCUGCACAAGCGGUGGAGUAUGUGGCUUAAUUCGAUGCAACGCGAAGAACCUUACCUGGCCUUGACAUGCACAUAGUAGAAGCCUGAAAGGGUGACGAGGUAGCAAUACCAGUGUGCACAGGUGC
rnacentral:rRNA from 2 species